rnacentral:rRNA from 1 species
AUUGAACGCUGGCGGCAUGCCUUACACAUGCAAGUCGAACGGCAGCACGGGAGCAAUCCUGGUGGCGAGUGGCGAACGGGUGAGUAAAGUAUCGGAACGUGCCCAGUCGUGGGGGAUAACGUAGCGAAAGUUACGCUAAUACCGCAUACGAUCUAUGGAUGAAAGCGGGGGAUCGCAAGACCUCGCGCGAUUGGAGCGGCCGAUAUCAGAUUAGGUAGUUGGUGGGGUAAAGGCUCACCAAGCCGACGAUCUGCAGCUGGUCUGAGAGGACGACCAGCAACACUGGGACUGAGACACGGCCCAGACUCCUACGGGAGGCAGCAGUGGGGAAUUUUGGACAAUGGGCGAAAGCCUGAUCCAGCCAUGCCGCGUGCAGGAUGAAGGCCUUCGGGUUGUAAACUGCUUUUGUACGGAACGAAAAGGUUUGGGCUAAUAAGCUGGGCUCAUGACGGUACCGUAAGAAUAAGCACCGGCUAACUACGUGCCAGCAGCCGCCGUAA